CUCUUUUUUGGUCUUUUGGAAAAUGUUGUUUGUGCUGUAUUUAGACCCCUUUAACAAGAAAUUUGUUUUGCAUGCACACGUAUAGAAAUUGCGGUUUUUAUCCAACGCAAUCAUAGGUUUGAACGUUGUUUUCAAUUUAGACUUGUUUAUAUUUUUUUGUUUGGGCUUGUAUUAUAUUUGCCUUCGGGUUUAUAUGAUCCGUUCAUCCUAUUUUGACUCUUUCAAAAUUCAAGAGUCUAUCCUAAAAUGAGGUAAAUUAUAUGGCCUUCCAAAUACCGUUUCGAUUCCUAACAUCACUGAAGAGACAUUAAUUGUCGAAAUCCGGAUAUGGUGUACUAAUUUUUGCACCUUUUGUUUGCGGUAUACCAUCUUUUCCGUAAGUUUAUUGUUUUCUGUUUGGUAUUCAAUUUAUAAAUUUUUAAAGAUCUAUUUUGUAACAUCUUGUGAUCCGUUUAUUUGGCAAUCGCCAAUGGCAGUCGGCAGGGUUUAAGAACAUCUGUUGUUCGACCUGUUAGUCAAAUGCGUUUUGUUAAAAUAUACUUUUUCACUUUUUUGGUCUUUUCGAAAAUGUUGUUUGUGCUGUAUUUAGACCCCUCUAACAAGAAAUUUGUUUUGCAUGCACACGUAUAGAAAUUGCGGUUUUUAUCCAACGCAAUCAUAGGUUUGAACGUUGUUUUCAAUUUAGACUUGUUUAUAUUUUUUUGUUUGGGCUUGUAUUAUAUUUGCCUUCGGGUUUAUAUGAUCCGUUCAUCCUAUUUUGACUCUUUCAAAAUUCAAGAGUCUAUCCUAAAAUGAGGUAAAUUAUAUGGCCUUCCAAAUACCGUUUCGAUUCCUAACAUCACUGAAGAGACAUUAAUUGUCGAAAUCCGGAUAUGUUGUACUAAUUUUUGCACCUUUUGUUUGCGGUUUACCAUCUUUUCCGCAAGUUUAUUGUUUUCUGUUUGGUAUUAAAUUUAUAAAUUUUUAAAGAUCUAUUUUGUAACAUCUUGUGAUCCGUUUAUUUGGCAAUCGCCAAUGGCAGUCGGCAGGGUUUAAGAACAUCUGUUGUUCGACCUGUUAGUCAAAUGCGUUUUGUUAAAAUAUACUUUUUCACUUUUUUGGUCUUUUGGAAAAUGUUGUUUGUGCUGUAUUUAGACCCCUCUAACAAGAAAUUUGUUUUGCAUGCACACGUAUAGAAAUUGCGGUUUUUAUCCAACGCAAUCAUAGGUUUGAACGUUGGUUUCAAUUUAGACUUGUUUAUAUUUUUUCGUUUGGGCUUGUAUUAUAUUUGCCUUCGGGUUAUAUGAUCCGUUCAUCGUAUUUUGACUCUUUCAAAAUUCAAGAGUCUAUCCUAAAAUGAGGUAAAUUAUAUGGCCUUCCAAAUACCGUUUCGAUUCCUAACAUCACUGAAGAGACAUUAAUUGUCGAAAUCCGGAUAUGGUGUACUAAUUUUUGCACCUUUUGUUUGCGGUAUACCAUCUUUUCCGUAAGUUUAUUGUUUUAUGUUUGGUAUUAAAUUUAUAAAUUUUUAAAGAUCUAUUUUGUAACAUCUUGUGAUCCGUUUAUUUGGCAAUCGCCAAUGGCAGUCGGCAGGGUUUAAGAACAUCUGUUGUUCGACCUGUUAGUCAAAUGCGUUUUGUUAAAAUAUACUUUUUCACUUUUUUGGUCUUUUCGAAAAUGUUGUUUGUGCUGUAUUUAGACCCCUUUAACAAGAAAUUUGUUUUGCAUGCACACGUAUAGAAAUUGCAGUUUUUAUCCAACGCAAUCAUAGGUUUGAACGUUGUUUUCAAUUUAGACUUGUUUAUAUUUUUUCGUUUGGGCUUGUAUUAUAUUUGCCUUCGGGUUUAAAUGAUCCGUUCAUCCUAUUUUGACUCUUUCAAAAUUCAAGAGUCUAUCCUAAAAUGAGGUAAAUUAUAUGGCCUUCCAAAUACCGUUUCGAUUCCUAACAUCACUGAAGAGACAUUAAUUGUCGAAAUCCGGAUAUGUUGUACUAAUUUUUGCACCUUUUGUUUGCGGUUUACCAUCUUUUCCGCAAGUUUAUUGUUUUCUGUUUGGUAUUAAAUUUAUAAAUUUUUAAAGAUCUAUUUUGUAACAUCUUGUGAUCCGUUUAUUUGGCAAUCGCCAAUGGCAGUCGGCAGGGUUUAAGAACAUCUGUUGUUCGACCUGUUAGUCAAAUGCGUUUUGUUAAAAUAUACUUUUUCACUUUUUUGGUCUUUUGGAAAAUGUUGUUUGUGCUGUAUUUAGACCCCUCUAACAAGAAAUUUGUUUUGCAUGCACACGUAUAGAAAUUGCGGUUUUUAUCCAACGCAAUCAUAGGUUUGAACGUUGGUUUCAAUUUAAACUUGUUUAUAUUUUUUCGUUUGGGCUUGUAUUAUAUUUGCCUUCGGGUUAUAUGAUCCGUUCAUCGUAUUUUGACUCUUUCAAAAUUCAAGAGUCUAUCCUAAAAUGAGGUAAAUUAUAUGGCCUUCCAAAUACCGUUUCGAUUCCUAACAUCACUGAAGAGACAUUAAUUGUCGAAAUCCGGAUAUGGUGUACUAAUUUUUGCACCUUUUGUUUGCGGUAUACCAUCUUUUCCGUAAGUUUAUUGUUUUCUGUUUGGUAUUAAAUUUAUAAAUUUUUAAAGAUCUAUUUUGUAACAUCUUGUGAUCCGUUUAUUUGGCAAUCGCCAAUGGCAGUCGGCAGGGUUUAAGAACAUCUGUUGUUCGACCUGUUAGUCAAAUGCGUUUUGUUAAAAUAUACUUUUUCACUUUUUUGGUCGUUUCGAAAAUGUUGUUUGUGCUGUAUUUAGACCCCUUUAACAAGAAAUUUGUUUUGCAUGCACACGUAUAGAAAUUGCGGUUUUUAUCCAACGCAAUCAUAGGUUUGAACGUUGUUUUCAAUUUAGACUUGUUUAUAUUUUUUCGUUUGGGCUUGUAUUAUAUUUGCCUUCGGGUUUAAAUGAUCCGUUCAUCCUAUUUUGACUCUUUCAAAAUUCAAGAGUCUAUCCUAAAAUGAGGUAAAUUAUAUGGCCUUCCAAAUACCGUUUCGAUUCCUAACAUCACUGAAGAGACAUUAAUUGUCGAAAUCCGGAUAUGGUGUACUAAUUUUUGCACCUUUUGUUUGCGGUAUACCAUCUUUUCCGCAGGUUAUUGUUUUCUGUUUGGUUUUAAAUUUAUAAAUCAAUAUGAAACUUUUGUAACAGAUUAUUUAUUUUAUUCCAGAACUCCUUGAAAUAACUGCACUCUAUGUAAUUAUGAAGACAAUUGAUCAUCAUUGGAAAUAUUUGUGAUGUCAUUUAACAAGACCGAAGCAAUACUUUCCUGCUGUUUGUUUACAUUCUUGCAACAACAAUAACAUUGUGAUAAAGCGACUAUCCGUACCUUGGACAAUAUAGAUUUACUUCUUACAUGCAUUACUGAAAGAUGAUACGUUACUAGAUUAUUAUGGUGCACCUUAAGUAGAUUAAUAUUCGAAUCAUAUGGAACAAGUAUAUGUGACCACUGUUUGGAGUUACUAU